rnacentral:rRNA from 1 species
GACGAACGCUGGCGGCGUGCUUAACACAUGCAAGUCGAACGGAAAGGCCCUGCUUUUGUGGGGUGCUCGAGUGGCGAACGGUUGAUUAACACGUGAGUAACCUGCCCUUGACUUUGGGAUAACUUCAGGAAACUGGGGCUAAUACCGGAUAGGAGCUCCUGCUGCAUGGUGGGGGUUGGAACGUUUCGGCGGUUGGGGAUGGACUCGCGGCUUAUCAGCUUGUUGGUGGGGUAGUGGCUUACCAAGGCUUUGACGGGUAGCCGGCCUGAGAGGGUGACCGGCCACAUUGGGACUGAGAUACGGCCCAGACUCCUACGGGAGGCAGCAGUGGGGAAUAUUGCACAAUGGGCGGAAGCCUGAUGCAGCAACGCCGCGUGCGGGAUGACGGCCUUCGGGUUGUAAACCGCUUUCGCCUGUGACGAAGCGUGAGUGACGGUAAUGGGUAAAGAAGCACCGGCUAACUACGUG